CUUAUUUGUUGUUUGCAGAGAAGGCUUUACAGUACUUUGCAGUUUACAUACAACGUUUUUUCUAACUCUCUUAUGUUUGUUUUACUUAUCUAAUGGCUUUAUACAAUCAAACAAAACUUUAGUAUUGUACAAUAAUUCUGACUUCAUGCUAAUGAGAAUGCUGUCUUGUUAAUGACCUGAAAUUCAUCUUUAGAUGAUUUGUGGAGAAAUUAUUGUUAUUGACUUUUUCCUUCUGCAGACUCCAUAUUUUAUUUGUUUUUAAAGAUACUAACUUAAAUUGAUUCAUUUUCUAUAUACUGAAUACUGUUAAAACAAUAUUGAUGCUUGAUAUAUUUAGUCAUCACUUUCUUGUGUUUUAACCACUGUUCUAACCUGUAUCCAUUGGGGGAUAUUUCAAGAAAACAGAUACUGUUUCAAGGGUAAUUACUGAUUUUUAUUCUCAUUAACAUAUGUGUUUACACUUUAGGUUUCCUUGCCAACUGUUGGAUUUCUUUUGAUUCUGCUCGUUGUUCCUUUUUCCUAUGCAUAUACUUCUUUGAGAAUUGGAACUAAAGAGGCAUAGGGCAUGGGAAAAUGGGGCGACUGAGGUACUCCACCACUCACUCUACAAAGCAUCUUUGGGAGGCAUGUGGGGAAAAAAAAUGAAAGCAUAGUAUUUGGAAAGUGUGACCUGUAACCUGACUCCAAUUUUUCACUCAACAGGAAAAUAGCCAUUCAUCACAGUGCUUUUAUGUCUAAUUAAUUUUAUUUAGUUUUGAUACAGAUUUCUGGAAAAAGGGUCCAUA